GGGAGGAAACCCGAGCAUGCAGGGUUAUCCACAGGUGGAUUCUGCAGCACCAUCCUGUGAUGUGUUACUGAAGCUGAAGUAACAACUCAGUCCUCAGCUUGUACAGGCAGGAGGCCAAACUGAAACAGGAUGAAUGCAGUGCUGCUUAUUUAUCUACCUGUAAAAGGUGUGGUGAGGAUUAAUCAGUGUUUGGAUUGCCAUUUGAAGACGUGAAGCACAGCAUGCAUGGUAAACCAAUAAAACCAAACACUCCUUCUAAAACUGUUCAACAUAUGGAAAAAUAAGGUGACAAGCUGAAGAUGUUCCUAAGGAAAGCUUCACCAUGGAUAUUCAAGCAUUCUGAACCUUUGAAAUCAAUGGAAAUAGGAAAUCCUGAGCAUCUCUCACAGCUACCCUCAAUCAAGUGAAGGGCUAUUUGCAAAAAUUAGAGGUCUAAUU